rnacentral:rRNA from 1 species
GAUAACUAUUGGAAACGAUAGCUAAUACCGCAUGACAAUGGAGGACCCAUGUCUUUCAUUUAAAAGGUGCAACUGCAUCACUAUGAGAUGGACCUGCGUUGUAUUAGCUAGUUGGUGAGGUAACGGCUCACCAAGGCGACGAUACAUAGCCGACCUGAGAGGGUGAACGGCCACACUGGGACUGAGACACGGCCCAGACUCCUACGGGAGGCAGCAGUAGGGAAUCUUCGGCAAUGGACGGAAGUCUGACCGAGCAACGCCGCGUGAGUGAAGAAGGUUUUCGGAUCGUAAAGCUCUGUUGUUAGAGAAGAAUGAUGGUGGGAGUGGAAAAUCCACCAUGUGACGGUAACUAACCAGAAAGGGACGGCUAACUACGUGCCAGCAGCCGCGGUAAUACGUAGGUCCCGAGCGUUGUCCGGAUUUAUUGGGCGUAAAGCGAGCGC